UAAUACGGAGGGUGCGAGCGUUAAUCGGAAUUACUGGGCGUAAAGCGCAUGUAGGCGGUUUGAUCAGUCGGAUGUGAAAUCCCUGGGCUUAACCUAGGAAUGGCAUUCGAUACUGUCAGGCUCGAGUAGGAUAGAGGAGGGGGGAAUUCCGCGUGUAGCAGUGAAAUGCGUAGAGAUGCGGAGGAACACCGAUGGCGAAGGCACCUCUCUGGAUCCAUACUGACGCUCAGAUGCGAAAGCGUGGGGAGCAAACAGGAUUAGAUACCCUGGUAGUCCACGCCCUAAACGAUGUCGACUAGUUGUUGGGAGGGUUUAACUUCUCAGUAACGUAGCUAACGUGAUAAGUCGACCGCCUGGGGAGUACGGCCGCAAGGUUG
rnacentral:rRNA from 1 species